rnacentral:rRNA from 1 species
UACGUAGGGGGCUAGCGUUGUCCGGAAUCAUUGGGCGUAAAGAGCGUGUAGGCGGUCCGGUAAGUCCGCUGUGAAAGUCGGGGGCUCAACCCUCGAAUGCCGGUGGAUACUGCCGGGCUAGAGUCCGGAAGAGGCGAGUGGAACUCCUGGUGUAGCGGUGGAAUGCGCAGAUAUCAGGAAGAACACCAACGGCGAAGGCAGCUCGCUGGGACGGUACUGACGCUGAGACGCGAAAGCGUGGGGAGCGAACAGG